rnacentral:tRNA from 1 species
GCACUAGUAGCUCAGCGUCAGAGCACCGGUCUUGUAAACCGGACGCCGGAGGUUAAAUUCCUCCCUACUGCUC